GGAAGGUCGAAGUUGGGGAUCCGCUGACCCCGGCACCUCUCCACAAAGCCAGCUCUGUAGCAGGGGUUGUCCCUGCAGCCUGUAGGAGAGAGUGCCACCCAGCGCUGGAGACCCCCCCUUCCAGGAGGACACUCCCCCUCCCUGCCUGUGCCAUCCGGGCACCUGCUAGACCCAGACUCGAAGUGACCCUCUUGCGCAGGGCUCCGGAGAGGUGCUGACAUUGAGCUCAUCCACACGGACCCCUUGAUUGUUCCAUGCCCUGCCCGCCCCCCUUUUCGGACUUAAAAUAUCCCCUUGGCCCCUUUGUUUACACAAUUGAAGUUGCAGUAUGCCUACAUUUUCCUCCAAGGACAAAAAAAAAUGUGAA